rnacentral:rRNA from 1 species
AUUGAACGCUGGCGGCAUGCUUUACACAUGCAAGUCGAACGGCAGCGCGGGCUUCGGCCUGGCGGCGAGUGGCGAACGGGUGAGUAAUGCAUCGGAACGUGCCCAGUAGUUGGGGAUAGCCCGGCGAAAGCCGGAUUAAUACCGCAUACGACCUGAGGGUGAAAGCGGGGGACCGAAAGGCCUCGCGCUAUUGGAGCGGCCGAUGUCGGAUUAGCUAGUUGGUGGGGUAAAGGCUUACCAAGGCGACGAUCCGUAGCUGGUCUGAGAGGACGACCAGCCACACUGGGACUGAGACACGGCCCAGACUCCUACGGGAGGCAGAAGUGGGGAAUUUUGGACAAUGGGGGCAACCCUGAUCCAGCCAUGCAGGGCGCGGGAAGAAGGCCUUCGGGUUGUAAACCGCUUUUGUUCGGGAAGAAAUCCUCUGGGCUAAUACAACGGGGGGAUGACGGUACCGGAAGAAUAAGCACCGGCUAACUACGUG